rnacentral:rRNA from 1 species
UACGUAGGGGGCAAGCGUUGUCCGGAAUUAUUGGGCGUAAAGCGCGUGUAGGCGGCUCGAUAAGUCUGCUGUGAAAGUCCAGGGCUCAACCCUGGAACGCCGGUGGAUACUGUCGAGCUCGAGUCCGGAAGAGGCGAGUGGAAUUCCUGGUGUAGCGGUGAAAUGCGCAGAUAUCAGGAGGAACACCAAUGGCGAAGGCAGCUCGCUGGGACGGUACUGACGCUGAGGCGCGAAAGCGUGGGGAGCAAACAGG